rnacentral:piRNA from 1 species
UGAGAACGACCCCACACCCCGCACUUAGUUU